UCUCCGUUGGUGAACCAGCGGAGGGAUCAUUACCGAGUUCUUCUACUCCCAAACCCCUGUGAACUUAUACCUUUGCUGUUGCUUCGGCGGGUUAACGCCCCGGAAGGCCCGCGAGGGCCGCCGGAACCAGGCGCCCGCCGGGGGACCCAAACUCUUGUAUCUUUUUUAUAGCAUGUCUGAGUGGAAUCAUAAACAAAUGAAUCAAAACUUUCAACAACGGAUCUCUUGGUUCUG
rnacentral:misc_RNA from 1 species